GAGUGAUCAUGGCUCAGAUUGAACGCUGGCGGCAUGCCUUACACAUGCAAGUCGAACGGCAGCACGGGAGCUUGCUCCUGGUGGCGAGUGGCGAACGGGUGAGUAAUGCAUCGGAACGUAUCCUGGAGUGGGGGAUAACGUAGCGAAAGUUACGCUAAUACCGCAUAUUCUGUGAGCAGGAAAGCGGGGGACCUUCGGGCCUCGCGCUCUUGGAGCGGCCGAUGUCGGAUUAGCUAGUUGGUGAGGUAAAGGCUCACCAAGGCGACGAUCCGUAGCAGGUCUGAGAGGAUGAUCUGCCACACUGGAACUGAGACACGGUCCAGACUCCUACGGAGGCAGCAGUGGGAAUUUGGACAAUGGGGCAACCCUGAUCCAGCCAUGCCGCGUGAGUGAAGAAGGCCUCGG
rnacentral:rRNA from 1 species